GGAAGUAAAAGUUCGUAACAAGGUUUCCGUAGGUGAACCUGCGGAAGGAUCAUUAUUGAAUGGGACACUUCUGGCUUUAUGCUGUUGUGCUGGCCCUUUGGGCAAUGUGCACACGGCUCUGGUCACUUGUUUCUUCUGUUCCACCUGUGCACUGCCUGUAGACACGCUGUGUCUAUGAUAUUUGUUAACACACAACAAUGUUAGUUGGCAUGUUAUAUAUAAUAAUAAAAUAUACAACUUUCAACAACGGAUCUCUUGGCUCUC
rnacentral:misc_RNA from 1 species